rnacentral:rRNA from 1 species
GAUGAACGCUGGCGGCGUGCCUAAUACAUGCAAGUCGAGCGAACAGACGAGGAGCUUGCUCCUCUGACGUUAGCGGCGGACGGGUGAGUAACACGUGGAUAACCUACCUAUAAGACUGGGAUAACUUCGGGAAACCGGAGCCAAUACCGGAUAAUAUAUUGAACCGCAUGGUUCAAUAGUGAAAGACGGUUUUGCUGUCACUUAUAGAUGGAUCCGCGCCGCAUUAGCUAGUUGGUAAGGUAACGGCUUACCAAGGCAACGAUGCGUAGCCGACCGGAGAGGGUGAUCGGCCACACUGGAACUGAGACACGGUCCAGACUCCUACGGGAGGCAGCAGUAGGGAAUCUUCCGCAAUGGGCGAAAGCCUGACGGAGCAACGCCGCGUGAGUGAUGAAGGUCUUCGGAUCGUAAAACUCUGUUAUUAGGGAAGAACAAAUGUGUAAGUAACUAUGCACGUCUUGACGGUACCUAAUCAGAAAGCCACGGCUAACUACGUG